AUAAAUUUAACAUAAUAGUAUAAUGAUUUGAAGUGUUGUGAUUUUGCAUGCAGUAGCUUAUGAACUCCCACAAGGUGGCGCAUAGUGCUCACCGAUGGGUCUAAAAAGCAGCGGUAGAAAUGAGGAAGAAACAGGAAGUGGAAAAACAAGCAAGACGAGCGCAAGUGCGAGCGCAGCUUUUUGUGAACAGCCACAGUGAAUAUUAAUAUACUGAUUAAGUUCGAAAUUAUUGUUGUUUGAGAAGAGGUCAAAGUUGUCCGGGAUGAUGUUUUGUCGCCAGAGGAUUAAGGAGGACGACUAACUAAUGUGUUUUGAUGACUAUUCUCCGGUUGGUUUUUUUAUGGUUGACUUCUGAGAGGAGGCGACGGCGACUCGCAGUGGUUUCAGCGGGUGAGCGGCAGUCCAGUCGCUACUACAGCUUCAAGUGGAGCCACUCCGAGUAUCGGGCUACUGCAGCUUCAACUGGAUUCCAGUUUACAGAUUGAUAUAGAGUUGAUGGGGUGAGUGAAGAGUUGAUGAACUGCACUGGCAUUAUUAGCGCUGUGCGAGUCAUGUCACGCACCAGUGUUGCAGACGUCACCAGCUGUCUCUAACUCCUCGCUGGAUUUGUUGACCUCCCGUGACUCCUGUACCGAACCUUCGUCAAAUCUCCCCAGUUUUCCUGUUCAUCGUGUCAUCAUCAAGAGGCAGGUGUUCAACAACAUCGCUCCACUCCAGCUGAUCAGACUGGUACUGCUGACAUAAAGAACUGUAUCCAUCCGGAGGUUGUGCACGUCAGCUUUGGUGCAGAAUCAGCCCUGAAGGUAGUGUUGUCAUGCCUUCUUCUUUGUUCAAUAAACCAACUUUUUAUCCACCAAUUCCUGAGUCAGGUUCUGCAUUUGGGUUCACCCUGUUUGAUCGUAACAAGUGUAUCAUUCAAAUUUUUAUCAGGAUGCAUAAAAUGGAUUUACUAUUUGUUAUGUAGGUCAUUCUCAUUAUCCCCGCCAGGAACUUCAAAGACAGCAAUAGAGAGGAGAACUGACACACGGAGAGUUUCGGAGGGACUGCAUCAAGGUGAUGUCAGCCCUCCUUCAGAAAGCCGUCCGAAGAGAGUCCCUCGAAAUAGGAGGCAGGUGACCUGUCUGAACCCUAGAAAGAUGUUCUCUGAUCCAGACUUGUGCCAGGGCGGGAUGAGCAAUCUCGUCCAGAGGUUUCUUCGAGAUGAGAAGGUGUCAGGAGGAGUUUCUGCUGGCAUGAGAGAAUAGGGCAGUCUCUGCAAAUUGUGUUUUUUCUUUUUCCCCCCCACAUUUAUUGCGAUGUGUCUCUGAAUGUAAAAGAAACAUACAGUGAUACAGUAAACAUCAUCGAUGGUGUUAAGUAUCCAGAAAGUUCAUAUUAUCACUCGGAAUGUACCUGCUUCUUGUCUUGUACUGUGUGACAAGAUCUCUCUGUUUUCAGCAAAGGAGGUUUUUUUCCUUUUUAAUAAGAUUUUCUUGAAUAUUAGAGGGAAAAUGAAACCGUGUUAAUAAUAUAAGAUAGCUUCUCUCUGCUCAUAUGGGGCAAUAAUUAAGUCCCCGGAGUGGUGGCGGGUGUGUGUCUUUAGAUGUGUGCGCAUAUGUGUGUGUGUGUGUGUGUGUGCAUACUAUAAGCAUAUGUUUAAUAAAGCAAUGUCAGUUGUUAACUAUUUUUAAUGAGUUUUGCACAGAGCGCUUCAUCUUCUUAAAAUCCUUAU
rnacentral:lncRNA from 1 species